UAAUAAUUUUCAUGAACAAUUUUGUCUACACACAUUAAAAACACGCAUAGAUUAAAUUUCAAUUUUUAAUAUCCUUUUUAUUAUUAUUUGAGAUGCAUUAUUAACAUUAAAUUUUACCCUCAUGUGUGAUUAACAAAUUUGUCAUUGCGUAGAUGCCAUCACUAGAAUCCACCUCACAUCUUUUGUUAAAUAGCUUUCUCUUUCCUAAACUUAUUACAUAUUAUGCCAUUGCCAAAUAAUAUUAGAAAGGGAUUAUCUUUAUAUAUAAAGUAGAGUUCUUUCACUCCUGGGAGCGCCACCUAGGAUUCCAGGUCACAAAUUCGAAGCAUAUGAGCAUGACACGUGUCCCCCUCUAUUAAAACUCUGCGUUUCAGGCCUAGCAAUUUGUGGGCUGGUGCGUUUCACUAUUUGAUUAAGGCUUCAUAAGAUUGUUAAUUUGGGCUUCCAAUUUACUAAACAUAAACCCACAACAAUUGCCUUCUUCUCCAUUAAUGGGUGAACGAGUUCUGUAAGGAAUCCCUCCAAAGAAUAGUUCCUCUAGAUACCACCGCCUGUGAAGAUCUGAUCUCACUAUGUUACGCACAACGGCCACUUCCGCUCAACCUCAAUAGGAAGCCACGUUUAUGUCUUAUCGCUUGGAUUUCUUCUCACUGUCCAUUGACUUCCGGCACGGUUACGGAAUUUGUCUACAUUCAAGCAUCGUCAUUAACUCUCUCAUUAACACCAUCUCCCCUCUCCUCACACGAUCUCUCAUUCAAUACAGCUUCUCAUUGUGUGAUUCUACAGCUAUAAAUAUCAUCCAGCGGUACAAUAAGAAGUGCUAUGUUGCUCCUCAAGUAUCAAGACGAAGUUACAUAAAAGAGACAGAUAUUUGAAGUGCAUAGAUUAUUCUAUUCAUCUUGCUUUGUGGUGUGCCACCGUUUUGGGCUGUUAAUACAAAGCUAAUUGUUUAAUUACGUAAUUUAUGUCUUACAAUGUUGUUGUUACAAUUAGGAAUGUUAAUUAUUGACUGAAGCUUGAAGAGGUUUGUUCAUUUUAAAUCUCAACAUUUUCCUCUAUCUUUUCAAUGUCUAUCUUUUUUAAAUUCACUCAUGUGUGCAGAAAAAAGAGUUUCGUCAAACACCAAAAGAUCGUGUACAUGUUUCUUGCUGCUAAUCCUUGGAGUUUCUCUUUGAAUUCGGUGGAACCGAUAAUCGAUUUGGAGUCAGUUGCUAAACGGGACAUAACAAUGGUCAUGAUUCAUCUUAAGCGAGAGCUUUUGUUUUUUAAAAGUAUAGUUUUGUUAAUUUUAAGGAAACUAUAAGUCUAUAACAUACAGCAGAAAACAGUGGUUAUUAAUUAGUUACGAUGAGGGAUCUCACCUCAUAAUGGUUUCAUGGAUUUAAGCCAGAGCUUUUGUUUUGUUAUAGUUCUGACGGUUUUAUUUCAUUGUUUUGCAGCCAUGGAUUUUCAUCUGAACCUACUAUGGAAUUAUUAAUUCUCAGCGCAAGUAUAUGGAUGUGAGGACUUGACAGAAACAUAAGUAGAAAAGCAAAGUGAAACUUAAGCAACUCAUUCGUCUGGAAUGAUGAUGAAUGUUUAAUUAUGUUUUGUUAUGCUUCACAGUUCACACUAGCUAUGGAAACAUUAUGAAAUUUCCAAUAAUUAACCAUUUUCUUUAGCUAAUAAUAUAUUUGAUUUUAUGCAUAACAGUACUAUAUAAUCAAAUACUAACACAUACAAUUAAAAACUAUUCAUUAGAAAAACUUAUCAACCGUUUUAUAGUUUUUAAAUCAUAAUAUGAAAAGUUAAAAAAAAAUACAAUAAUUUAGGUAUUAGAAAGAAAAAAAAUUUAAUAAACAUAAAAUAAAAUAAGUCUUGCAUAAACAGGUAAACCAUACAUGGUUUGCUAGAAUUACUCUUUGGAAUAACCUUUCUAUCCUAUUUAUCAAAACUUUGUUUAAGAAUAUGGAUUGUUAACAAAAAAGGACAUAAGUUAAACAGGUUUUACAAAAACGGGAUGUAAAAUUUCUAAAAAAAAAAAAAAAAAAAAAU